rnacentral:rRNA from 1 species
UAAGGAAUAUUGCUCAAUGGGAGAAAUCCUGAAGCAGCAACGCCGCGUGGAGGAUGAAGGGUCUAUGACUUGUAAACUCCUGUAAAGAAGGAAAAAAUUCCCAUUUGAUGGGAGAUGAUGGUACUUCUGGAGUAGGCCCCGGCUAACUACGUGCCAGCAGCCGCGGUAAUACGUAGGGGGCAAGCGUUGUCCGGAUUUACUGGGUGUAAAGGGUGCUCAGGCGGAUUUGUAAGUCAGAGGUGAAAUCUUACAGCUUAACUGUGAAACUGCCUUUGAUACUGCAAGCCUAGAGUAUGGAAGAGAGUGAUGGAAUAUCUGGUGUAGCAGUGAAAUGCGUAGAUAUCAGAUAGAACACCAAUGGCGAAGGCAGUCACUUGGUCCAUUACUGACGCUAAAGCGCGAAAGCGUGGGUAGCAAACA